rnacentral:rRNA from 1 species
AGCGAACGCUGGCGGCAGGCCUAACACAUGCAAGUCGAACGAACUCUUCGGAGUUAGUGGCGGACGGGUGAGUAACACGUGGGAACGUGCCUUUAGGUUCGGAAUAACUCAGGGAAACUUGUGCUAAUACCGAAUGUGCCCUUCGGGGGAAAGAUUUAUCGCCUUUAGAGCGGCCCGCGUCUGAUUAGCUAGUUGGUGAGGUAAAGGCUCACCAAGGCGACGAUCAGUAGCUGGUCUGAGAGGAUGAUCAGCCACAUUGGGACUGAGACACGGCCCAAACUCCUACGGAAGGCAGCAGUGGGGAAUCUUGCGCAAUGGGCGAAAGCCUGACGCAGCCAUGCCGCGUGAAUGAUGAAGGUCUUAGGAUUGUAAAAUUCUUUCACCGGGGACGAUAAUGACGGUACCCGGAGAAGAAGCCCCGGCUAACUUCGU